AACGAACGCUGGCGGCAGGCUUAACACAUGCAAGUCGAGCGCCCCGCAAGGGGAGCGGCAGACGGGUGAGUAACGCGUGGGAAUCUACCCAUCUCUACGGAAUAACGCAUGGAAACGUGUGCUAAUACCGUAUACGUCCUUCGGGAGAAAGAUUUAUCGGAGAUGGAUGAGCCCGCGUUGGAUUAGCUAGUUGGUGGGGUAAAGGCCUACCAAGGCGACGAUCCAUAGCUGGUCUGAGAGGAUGAUCAGCCACACUGGGACUGAGACACGGCCCAGACUCCUACGGGAGGCAGCAGUGGGGAAUAUUGGACAAUGGGCGCAAGCCUGAUCCAGCCAUGCCGCGUGAGUGAUGGUGGCCCUAGGGUUGUAAAGCUCUUUCACCGGUGAAGAUAAUGACGGUAACCGGAGAAGAAGCCCCGGCUAACUUCGUGCCAGCCGCCGCGGUAACAC
rnacentral:rRNA from 1 species